rnacentral:rRNA from 1 species
CGGUAGUGGCGGACGGGUGAGUAACGCGUAGGUAUCUGUCCAUGGGUGGGGGAUAACGCAGCGAAAGCUGUGCUAAUACCGCAUACGAUCUACGGAUGAAAGCGGGGGAUCGCAAGACCUCGCGCGAUUGGAGCGGCCGAUAUCAGAUUAGGUUGUUGGUGAGGUAAAAGCUCACCAAGCCGACGAUCUGUAGCUGGUCUGAGAGGACGACCAGCCACACUGGAACUGAGACACGGCCCAGACUCC